UACUAAAUCUAGUGGUUAGAGCGUCCGCCUCGGAUGCGGGAGGUCGUGGGUUCGAUCCCCGGUCGAGUCAU